rnacentral:rRNA from 1 species
GGAGGUAGUGACAAUAAAUCACAAUGCGGAACUUCUGUUUUGCAAUUGGAUUGAGAACAACGCACAACACUUAUCGAUAAACAAUUGGAGGGCAAGUCUGGUGCCAGCAGCCGCGGUAAUUCCAGCUCCAAUAGCGUAUAUUAACGUUGUUGCAGUUAAAAAGCUCGUAGUUGAAGUGAAGUAAUGAAGUUGUGACUUGAUUUAUCAUUUCGCUCCUUAAUUACUCUUUCCAAACUGUUUGCACGGGUAUUCAUUUACUUGUGUAUUGCAUUUGGUCGUUUACUGUGAGAAAAUUAGAGUGUUCAAAGCAUACGUUUGUUUGAAUACAUUAGCAUGGAAUAAUUCGAAAAGGCUUUCAUGUUCGAUUUGAUUGGUUUGUUCGUGAGAGCAAGAUUAAAAGGGACAGUUGGGGGUAUUCAUAUUCAAUAGUCAGAGGUGAAAUUCUCGGAUUUAUGGAAGAUGAACAAGUGCGAAAGCA